rnacentral:rRNA from 1 species
UUAACCGUUAAACUGCUNGGGAAACUGAUAAUCUAGAGUAAGGGAGAGGCAGAUGGANUUCUUGGUGUAGGGGUAAANUCCGUAGAUAUCAAGAAGAAUACCUAUUGCGAAGGCGNUCUGCUGGAACUUAACUGACGCUAAUGCGUGAAAGCGUGGGGAGCAAACAGGAUUAGAUACCCUGGUAGUCCACGCCCUAAACGAUGUAUACCGGUUGUUGCUGUGCUAGUCACGGCAGCAAUCCACCUAACGGAUUAAGUAUACCGCCUGGGGAGUACGGUCGCAAGAUUAAAACUCAAAGGAAUAGACGGGGACCCGCACAAGCGGUGGAGCAUGUGGUUUAAUUCGAAGAUACGCGAAGAACCUUACCCGGACUUGAUAUCUAACAAAUCAUCCAGAGAUGGAAGAGUGUCUGCUUGCAGAAAUGUUAAGACAGGUGCUGCACGGCUGUCGUCAGCUCGCGUCGUGAGAUGUUGGGCUAAGUCCCGCAACGAGCGCAACCCACGUCAUUAGUUGCUAACGGUUCGGCCGAGCACUCUAAUGAGACUGCCUUCGUAAGGAGGAGGAAGGUGUGGACGACGUCAAGUCAUCAUGGCCCUUAUGUCCGGGGCGACACACGUGCUACAAUGGCAUAUACAAUAAGACGCAAUAUCGUAAGAUGGAGCAAAUCUAAAAAAUAUGUCCCAGUUCGGAUUGGAGUCUGCAACUCGACUCCAUGAAGCCGGAAUCGCUAGUAAUCGUAGAUCAGCCAUGCUACGGUGAAUACGUUCCCGGGUCUUGUACUCACCGCCCGUCACACCAUGGGAGUUGAUUUCACUC